GCUCAGGAUGAACGCUGGCGGCGUGCCUAAUACAUGCAAGUCGAGCGAAUGGAUUGAGAGCUUGCUCUCAAGAAGUUAGCGGCGGACGGGUGAGUAACACGUGGGUAACCUGCCCAUAAGACUGGGAUAACUCCGGGAAACCGGGGCUAAUACCGGAUAAUAUUUUGAACUGCAUGGUUCGAAAUUGAAAGGCGGCUUCGGCUGUCACUUAUGGAUGGACCCGCGUCGCAUUAGCUAGUUGGUGAGGUAACGGCUCACCAAGGCAACGAUGCGUAGCCGACCUGAGAGGGUGAUCGGCCACACUGGGACUGAGACACGGCCCAGACUCCUACGGGAGGCAGCAGUAGGGAAUCUUCCGCAAUGGACGAAAGUCUGACGGAGCAACGCCGCGUGAGUGAUGAAGGCUUUCGGGUCGUAAAACUCUGUUGUUAGGGAAGAACAAGUGCUAGUUGAAUAAGCUGGCACCUGAC
rnacentral:rRNA from 1 species